rnacentral:rRNA from 1 species
GAUGAACGCUGGCGGUAUGCCUUACACAUGCAAGUCGUACGAGAGUUUUUAACUCAAGUGGCGGACGGGUGAGUAACACGUAAGAAUUUACCUUUAGAAGGGGGAUAACAACUGGAAACGGUUGCUAAUACCCCAUAUGCUUUCGAGUGAAAUGGGUUUCCGCCUAAAGAAAAGCUUGCGGCUGAUUAGCUUGUUGGUGAGGUAAUGGCUCACCAAGGCGACGAUCAGUAUCUGGUUUGAGAGGAUGAUCAGACACACUGGAACUGAGACACGGUCCAGACUCCUACGGGAGGCAGCAGUAGGGAAUCUUCCGCAAUGGACGAAAGUCUGACGGAGCAACGCCGCGUGAGUGAAGAAGGUUUUCGGAUCGUAAAACUCUGUUGUCAGAGAAGAACAAGUCGGAGAGUAACUGCUCCGGCCUUGACGGUAUCUGACCAGAAAGCCACGGCUAACUACGU